rnacentral:lncRNA from 1 species
AGCGUGGCUAGGGGCGGAGCGACUGCCGCGCGGUAGUCAGGGAGCUGUGCGGGUCCUGGUUGCAAGAGAGUCUGUUUGCCAGCCAACCCCAGCCCGGGAGGGGAUCAGGGCCACCAGGUUGCUGGAAGGAUUAAAGGACUGGAGGGCAUCAUAAACAUGAAGAAAAAUGUGGGAGAAUAUGAUAAUUGAAAGAAGAAGAGUUUGUGGUCAAAGGGAGAGAUUAAAGAUGUGCAACUUCAGAUUUCCUGGACCUGCCUACCAUCCUGAUCACAGACGUAGAAGGACCAGUUCCUGUUUUUAGAAAACCUGCCACCCUUACACGUGUCUGGACACACUUGAAUCCUGAAGGGAGCAUAGCUGAGCUUCAAAGGAGGAACCACGCUACAUCAAAUUGAAAAGCUGAAGUAGUAAAAGCUUCUGAACAAAUAAUUUUUAUAAACAAGAUUAAUGAAAAAGAGGUUGUUUGUGUAUUUAAAGUAAAUGGAGUUUAUAUGUAAAUAAUUUAAAAGCCUUGCCUUUAAACACUGGAAGGAAU